rnacentral:rRNA from 1 species
AUUGAACGCUGGCGGCAGGCUUAACACAUGCAAGUCGAGCGGGGUGAUGGUGCUUGCACUAUCACUUAGCGGCGGACGGGUGAGUAAUGCUUAGGAAUCUGCCUAUUAGUGGGGGACAGCAUCUCGAAAGGGAUGCUAAUACCGCAUGCGUCCUACGGGAGAAAGCAGGGGAUCACUUGUGACCUUGCGCUAAUAGAUGAGCCUAAGUCGGAUUAGCUAGUUGGUGGGGUAAAGGCCUACCAAGGCGACGAUCUGUAGCGGGUCUGAGAGGAUGAGCCGCCACACUGGGACUGAGACACGGCCCAGACUCCUACGGGAGGCAGCAGUGGGGAAUAUUGGACAAUGGGGGGAACCCUGAUCCAGCCAUGCCGCGUGUGUGAAGAAGGCCUUAUGGUUGUAAAGCACUUUAAGCGAGGAGGAGGCUCUUUUGGUUAAUACCCAAGAUGAGUGGACGUUACUCGCAGAAUAAGCACCGGCUAACUCUGUGCCAGCCGCCGCAGUAA